rnacentral:rRNA from 1 species
GGGGCCAAUGUACAUGCAGUCCGACGGACUUAACUCAUUCUUUUAGAUUGAGAGCGGUUAGUGGCGGACUGGUGAGUAACACGUAAGCAACCUGCCUAUCAGAGGGGAAUAACAGUGAGAAAUCAUCGCUAAUACCGCAUAUGCUCACAGUAUCACAUGAUACAGUGAGGAAAGGAGUAAUCCGCUGAUAGAUGGGCUCGCGUCUGAUUAGUUAGUUGGUGGGGUAACGGCCUACCAAGACUACGAUCAGUAGCCGGACUGAGAGGUUGAACGGCCACAUUGGGACUGAGAUACGGCCCAGACUCCUACGGGAGGCAGCAGUCGGGAAUAUUGCGCAAUGGAGGAAACUCUGACGCAGUGACGCCGCGUAUAGGAAGAAGGUUUUCGGAUUGUAAACUAUUGUCAUUAGGGAAGAUAAAAGACUGUACCUAAGGAGGAAGCCCCGGCUAACUAUGUGCCAGCAGCCGCGGUAAUACAUAGGGGGCAAGCGUUAUCCGGAAUUAUUGGGUGUAAAGGGUGCGUAGACGGAAGAACAAGUUGGUUGUGAAAUCCCUCGGCUCAACUGAGGAACUGCAACCAAACUAUUCUCCUUGAGUGUCGGAGAGGAAAGUGGAAUUCCUAGUGUAGCGGUGAAAUGCGUAGAUAUUAGGAGGAACACCAGUGGCGAAGGCGACUUUCUGGACGAUAACUGACGUUGAGGCACGAAAGUGUGGGGAGCAAACAGGAUUAGAUACCCUGGUAGUCCACACU